ACGGAAUCCUUUAGAGAUAGAGGAGUGCUCGAAAGAGAACCGUAACACAGGUGNUGCAUGGCUGUCGUCAGCUNGUGUCGUGAGAUGNUGGGUUAAGUCCNGCAACGAGCGCAACCCUUGUCAUUAGUUGAUACAUUUAGUUGGGCACUCUAAUGAGACNNCCGGUGACAAACCGGAGGAAGGUGGGGAUGACGUCAAGUCCUCAUGGCCCUUAUAGGUGGGGCUACACACGUCAUACAAUGGCUGGUACANAGGGUUGNCAACCCAGCGAGGGGGAGCAAAUNCCAUAAAGCCAGUCGUAGUCCGGAUCGCAGUCUGCAACUCGACUGCGUGAAGUCGGAAUCGCUAGUAAUCGCGGAUCAGAAUGUCGCGGUGAAUACGUUCCCGGGUCUUGUACACACCGCCCGUCACACCAUGGGAGCGGGUUCUGCCAGAAGUAGGUAGCCUAACCGUAAG
rnacentral:rRNA from 1 species